rnacentral:rRNA from 1 species
GACGAACGCUGGCGGCGUGCUUAACACAUGCAAGUCGAGCGGAAAGGCCCUUCGGGGUACUCGAGCGGCGAACGGGUGAGUAACACGUGAGUAAUCUGCCCUUGGCUUUGGGAUAACUACCGGAAACGGUGGCUAAUACCGGAUACGACAACCGUCUGCAUGGGCUGGUUGUGGAAAGUUUUUUCGGCCAGGGAUGUGCUCGCGGCCUAUCAGCUUGUUGGUGGGGUAAUGGCCUACCAAGGCUUCGACGGGUAGCCGGCCUGAGAGGGUGACCGGCCACACUGGGACUGAGACACGGCCCAGACUCCUACGGGAGGCAGCAGUGGGGAAUAUUGGACAAUGGGCGGAAGCCUGAUCCAGCAACGCCGAGUGAGGGAUGACGGCCUUCGGGUUGUAAACCUCUUUCAGUACCGACGAAGCGCCGAUGAUGGUGGUGACGGUAGGUACAGAAGAAGCACCGGCCAACUACGUG